rnacentral:rRNA from 1 species
UACAGAGGUCUCAAGCGUUGUUCGGAUUCAUUGGGCGUAAAGGGUGCGUAGGUGGCGAGGUUAGUCAGGUGUGAAAUCUCGGGGCUCAACCCCGAAACUGCACUUGAUACUGCCUUGCUAGAGUACUGGAGAGGAGAUUGGAAUUUACGGUGUAGCAGUGAAAAUGCGUAGAUAUCGUAAGGAAGACCAGUGGCGAAGGCGGGUCUCUGGACAGUUCCGUGACGCUGAGGCACGAAGGCCCAGGGGAGCAAACGGG